CGAAAUACGCUAAACAGGCUGAAGAGAGCAAAUAUAGGAGCUGCAAACGAAUUCCUAAGACUGGCAGAUUGGCUAGAAAAAGCAGUCAGUUUAUCCAAGGAUACUGCAACGUUACGUUACUCAAGUGGGUGCUUAGCAGUUGGUCAGGAUUCCGUCAGAUGAACAGCUGUUGGAUUAAAUGAUGCCAAUUAACUCCCAAUUGAGGGGCAGACAUAUGUUAUCCAGCUGCAGCAAAGAUUUUAGGAUGGAUUAAUUACAGGAACGUAAAUAAAUUAGCAGCAGAUUGUAGGAAUUAACCAGUUCAUAGAAUCCUAUAUCUGUUAAGACGGAUUAGCGACGAAAUUAACUCCGAUCAUGUCUGGAGAGGGCGAGUAAAAAGGAUCAGGAACAGCAGCAUAAAAAUAGAAUUAAAAAACCAGAAUUUUAUUUUUUCCAGAAUUUUUCCAGAAUUAAGAAAACCAAUUUUAGUUUUAAUGAAUUAUAUUUAAGUAGUUUAAGUAAUUUUGUGUUAAUAAAAUGUAAUAAAUCAUCGAUCAGAUGUGAAAAAUUCAA